GAGCGAGACCUUCGGGUCUAGCGGCGGACGGGUUAGUAACGCGUGGGAACGUGCCCUUUACUACGGAAUAGUCCCGGGAAACUGGGUUUAAUACCGUAUACGCCCUUCGGGGGAAAGAUUUAUCGGUAAAGGAUCGGCCCGCGUUAGAUUAGAUAGUUGGUGGGGUAAUGGCCUACCAAGUCUACGAUCUAUAGCUGGUUUGAGAGGAUGAUCAGCAACACUGGGACUGAGACACGGCCCAGACUCCUACGGGAGGCAGCAGUGGGGAAUCUUAGACAAUGGGCGCAAGCCUGAUCUAGCCAUGCCGCGUGAGUGACGAAGGCCUUAGGGUCGUAAAGCUCUUUCGCCAGGGAUGAUAAUGACAGUACCUGGUAAAGAAACCCCGGCUAACUCCGUGCCAGCAGCCGCGGUAAUACGGAGGGGGUUAGCGUUGUUCGGAAUUACUGGGCGUAAAGCGCACGUAGGCGGACUGGAAAGUUGGGGGUGAAAUCCCGGGGCUCAACCUCGGAACUGCCUCCAAAACUACUAGUCUAGAGUUCGAGAGAGGUGAGUGGAAUUCCGAGUGUAGAGGUGAAAUUCGUAGAUAUUCGGAGGAACACCAGUGGCGAAGGCGGCUCACUGGCUC
rnacentral:rRNA from 1 species